UGCAAGUCGAACGCUUCUUUUCUACCGAGUGCUUGCACUCAUUUGAAAAGAGGAGUGGCGGACGGGUGAGUAACACGUGGGUAACCUGCCCAUCAGAGGGGGAUAACACUUGGAAACAGGUGCUAAUACCGCAUAAUAGUCGACACCGCAUGGUGUUGAUUUGAAAGACGCUUUCGGGUGUCGCUGAUGGAUGGACCCGCGGUGCAUUAGCUAGUUGGUGAGGUAACGGCUCACCAAGGCCAUGAUGCAUAGCCGACCUGAGAGGGUGAUCGGCCACACUGGGACUGAGACACGGCCCAGACUCCUACGGGAGGCAGCAGUAGGGAAUCUUCGGCAAUGGACGAAAGUCUGACCGAGCAACGCCGCGUGAGUGAAGAAGGUUUUCGGAUCGUAAAACUCUGUUGUUAGAGAAGAACAAGUGGGAGAGUAACUGCUCCCGCCUUGACGGUAUCUAACCAGAAAGCCACGGCUAACUACGUGCCAGCAGC
rnacentral:rRNA from 1 species